GUGCUCGCUUUGGCAACACAUAUACUAAAAUUGGAAUGAUACAGAGAAGAUUAGCAUGGCCCCUGUGCAAGGAUGACACACAAAUUCGUGAAGCAUUCCACAUUUUU
rnacentral:snRNA from 1 species